ensembl:misc_RNA Y_RNA Y RNA
GGCUGGUCUGAAGGUAGCGAGGUGCCUGACUCGAUUGCUCACAGUCACAGAUUGAAUGCUUUGGUCUAUUCUUUCCCCUUUUCUCACUACUGCACUUGACUAAAAC